rnacentral:lncRNA from 1 species
CAGCUAGAACAUCAAUAAGAUGCUGGAGUUUAAUCAACCACAGCAGACUGUGAGGUGGAAGCCACUUGGUGAUUGUGGGCCAGCACCAAGAUCGAAGGCAUUUGGAUCCCUGGUGAUCACAGACCUAGCAUGUCAUCUCUGCAAAGUCUUUGAGCAGGAGCCCAAGGAAGGAAAAAUAAGGACACACAUUUUUGGCUGGAUUAGUAACAUCUUUCCUUUGUCUUCAUCCACCAGUGUUCUGGGUACACUGAAAUGAAACAAGAAAUUUGAAAAAUCUUAUUUUCCAUGUCAGAAGCUAUUACAUCAUUCCAUUUGCAAUAACAUACUUUAAUCUUCUCCAGGUUUCAUAAAUUCUU